rnacentral:rRNA from 1 species
UCCAGAGUUUGAUCCUGGCUCAGAUUGAACGCUGGCGGCAGGCUUAACACAUGCAAGUCGAGCGGGGGAAGGUAGCUUGCUACUGGACCUAGCGGCGGACGGGUGAGUAAUGCUUAGGAAUCUGCCUAUUAGUGGGGGACAACAUCUCGAAAGGGAUGCUAAUACCGCAUACGUCCUACGGGAGAAAGCAGGGGAUCUUCGGACCUUGCGCUAAUAGAUGAGCCUAAGUCGGAUUAGCUAGUUGGUGGGGUAAAGGCCUACCAAGGCGACGAUCUGUAGCGGGUCUGAGAGGAUGAUCCGCCACACUGGGACUGCASACUWCGGCCCAGACUCCUACGGGAGGCAGCAGUGGGGAAUAUUGGACAAUGGGGGGAACCCUGAUCCAGCCAUGCCGCGUGUGUGAAGAAGGCCUUAUGGUUGUAAAGCACUUUAAGCGAGGAGGAGGCUACUUUAGUUAAUACCUAGAGAUAGUGGACGUUACUCGCAGAAUAAGCACCGGCUAACUCUGUGCCAGCAGCCGCGGUAAUACAGAGGGUGCGAGCGUUAAUCGGAUUUACUGGGCGUAAAGCGUGCGUAGGCGGCUUAUUAAGUCGGAUGUGAAAUCCCCGAGCUUAACUUGGGAAUUGCAUUCGAUACUGGUGAGCUAGAGUAUGGGAGAGGAUGGUAGAAUUCCAGGUGUAGCGGUGAAAUGCGUAGAGAUCUGGAGGAAUACCGAUGGCGAAGGCAGCCAUCUGGCCUAAUACUGACGCUGAGGUACGAAAGCAUGGGGAGCAAACAGGAUUAGAUACCCUGGUAGUCCAUGCCGUAAACGAUGUCUACUAGCCGUUGGGGCCUUUGAGGCUUUAGUGGCGCAGCUAACGCGAUAAGUAGACCGCCUGGGGAGUACGGUCGCAAGACUAAAACUCAAAUGAAUUGACGGGGGCCCGCACAAGCGGUGGAGCAUGUGGUUUAAUUCGAUGCAACGCGAAGAACCUUACCUGGCCUUGACAUACUAGAAACUUUCCAGAGAUGGAUUGGUGCCUUCGGGAAUCUAGAUACAGGUGCUGCAUGGCUGUCGUCAGCUCGUGUCGUGAGAUGUUGGGUUAAGUCCCGCAACGAGCGCAACCCUUUUCCUUACUUGCCAGCAUUUCGGAUGGGAACUUUAAGGAUACUGCCAGUGACAAACUGGAGGAAGGCGGGGACGACGUCAAGUCAUCAUGGCCCUUACGGCCAGGGCUACACACGUGCUACAAUGGUCGGUACAAAGGGUUGCUACACAGCGAUGUGAUGCUAAUCUCAAAAAGCCGAUCGUAGUCCGGAUUGGAGUCUGCAACUCGACUCCAUGAAGUCGGAAUCGCUAGUAAUCGCGGAUCAGAAUGCCGCGGUGAAUACGUUCCCGGGCCUUGUACACACCGCCCGUCACACCAUGGGAGUUUGUUGCACCAGAAGUAGCUAGCCUAACUGCAAAGAGGGCGGUUACCACGGUGUGGCCGAUGACUGGGGUGAAGUCGUAACAAGGUAGCCGUAGGGGAACCUGCGGCUGGAACACCUCCUUCUAA